UCCUCUGCAGCUCAGUUGGUGAGAGCUCUGCCCUGGAAUCACAGGGCCGCAGGUUCGAUUCCUGCCAGAGGAC